rfam:Ornithorhynchus anatinus chromosome 5, whole genome shotgun sequence.
GCCCUCUCAGGGUCACACCUGGAGAGUUUCCAGUACUCUACCAGUCCUGACUACAGGAGGGAGAUCUAGCAGAGGCCUACCCAUUCCAUUCCUAGCUUGGACAGUGGCUAGCGAGUGGAAGGCCAUCUGCUACAAGU